GAUGAACGCUAGCGGCAGGCUUAAUACAUGCAAGUCGUAGGGCAGCGCAGGUAGCAAUACUGGGCGGCGACCGGCAAACGGGUGCGGAACACGUACACAACCUUCCGAGAAGUGGGGAAUAGCCCAGAGAAAUUUGGAUUAAUACCCCGUAACAUAACGAUGUGGUAUCACAUUGUUAUUAUAGCUUCGGCGCUUCUUGAUGGGUGUGCGGCUGAUUAGAUAGUUGGCGGGUAACGCCCACCAAGUCUACGAUCAGUAGCUGAUGUGAGAGCAUGAUCAGCCACACGGGCACUGAGACACGGGCCCGACUCCUACGGGAGGCAGCAGUAAGGAAUAUUGGUCAAUGGACGCAAGUCUGAACCAGCCAUGCCGCGUGAAGGAUUAAAGGUCCUCUGGAUUGUAAACUUCUUUAUCUGGACGAAAAAAGGCGAUUCUUCGUCACUUGACGGUACCAGAUGAAUAAGCACCGGCUAACUCCGUGCCAGCAGCCGCGGUAA
rnacentral:rRNA from 1 species